GGGCAUCUGAAUUUCAAUAGUCUCAAGUUACUUUCCAACAAGAACAUGGUGCAAGGACUUCCACAACAUAUCAACCACAAGGAUGGAGUAUGUGAAGGUUGUGCACUUGGUAAAC